rnacentral:lncRNA from 1 species
GUUAUUUUAAUAAAUUAAGUUUAGAUUAUAUCUAAUUUUAUUGAGAUUAUUUCUAAUUUUAGUGAAUUUGUAUUUUUAGUUAAUUAAAAUUUAGUAAUUAUUAUAAAUAUACUUUUUAUUCCAUUGAUUUAGUGUGACAGGGAUGAAAGAGUAUGAUUGUAUUUUUGAGACUAGAGUUUUAUAAGAUAGACAUAUUUUACACAUCACUUGGAUUAUAAUAAAAGUCUCCACUCUGUUUUCGCCCAUGUAAAUAUGUGCUUUAUUUUUUUCCUCUCUUUAUCGGUUCUCUUUUGAAAUUUUCAUAUCCGACGAAUUUGAUAUUUUUCGCUUUUAUCAUAACAAAUU